rnacentral:rRNA from 1 species
GUCCGGAAUUACUGGGCGUAAAGAGCUCGUAGGUGGUUUGUCGCGUUGUUCGUGAAAACUCACAGCUUAACUGUGGGCGUGCGGGCGAUACGGGCAGACUUGAGUACUGCAGGGGAGACUGGAAUUCCUGGUGUAGCGGUGGAAUGCGCAGAUAUCAGGAGGAACACCGGUGGCGAAGGCGGGUCUCUGGGCAGUAACUGACGCUGAGGAGCGAAAGCGUGGGGAGCGAACAGGAUUAGAUACCCUGGUAGUCCACGCCGUAAACGGUGGGUACUAGGUGUGGGUUUCCUUCCUUGGGAUCCGUGCCGUAGCUAACGCAUUAAGUACCCCGCCUGGGGAGUACGGCCGCAAGGCUAAAACUCAAAGAAAUUGACGGGGGCCCGCACAAGCGGCGGAGCAUGUGGAUUAAUUCGAUGCAACGCGAAGAACCUUACCUGGGUUUGACAUGCACAGGACGCUGGUAGAGAUAUCAGUUCCCUUGUGGCCUGUGUGCAGGUGGUGCAUGGCUGUCGUCAGCUCGUGUCGUGAGAUGUUGGGUUAAGUCCCGCAACGAGCGCAACCCUUGUCCUUUGUUGCCAGCGGGUUAUGCCGGGGACUCGUAGGAGACUGCCGGGGUCAACUCGGA